CCGAUUGAUUCUGUCGGCGGUCAUAUGCUUAUCUCAAAGGCUAAGCCAUGCAUGUCAAAGUUCAUACUGCCUUAAAUGGUGAAACCGCGAACGGCUCAUUACAACAGCUAUUAUUAUAUACUUGAUCUUGAUUUCCUACGUGGAUAACUGUGGUAAUUCUAGAGCUAAUACAUGCACCAAAGCUCCGAUUUUAUUGACGAGCGCAUCUAUUAGAUUAAAACCAAUCGAGCUUUAAACGGCUCGUUAAUUGGUGACUCUGAAUAGCUUAGCUGAUCGCAUGGUCUAGUACCGGCGACAUAUCUAUCAAGUAUCUGCCUUAUCAACUUUCGAUGGUAGUUUAUGUGCCUACCAUGGUUGUAACGGGUAACGGAGAAUAAGGGUUCGACUCCGGAGAGGGAGCCUGAGAAACGGCUACCACUUCCAAGGAAGGCAGCAGGCGCGCAAAUUACCCACUCUCAGCAAGAGGAGGUAGUGACGAAAAAUAACGAGACCGUUCUCAUUGAGGCCGGUUAUCGGAAUGGGUACAAUUUAAACCUGUUAACGAGGACCUAUGAGAGGGCAAGCCUGGUGCCAGCAGCCGCGGUAACUCCAGCUCUCAAAGUGUAUAUCGUUAUUGCUGCGGUUAAAAAGCUCGUAGUUGGAAUCCCCAGGCUGGGAGCAUCAUGCGCGUCGGAAGACGCGGUAUUAUUUAUAUGUUUACAAACUAUUGUUUUUUUCAUUAUUGUAUCAAAAAUAUCAGAUCCUUUCACCAUAGAGUCACUUGAGAAUAGAGUUACAGGUGGGUCCCCAGCAGCCACCCGGAUUUUUGAUAUAAUAGCAGGUUUACUCUCGCCAAAGACAAAAAAUUAAAUUUGAGGAAAAUAAUAAAAUAGACAAUGAAAUUAAAAAAUAUAUAUAUACAUAUAUAUGACUGUAUGUAUAUAUAUAUGAAAUAUAUAUAUAUAUAUAUAUAUGUAUAUAUAUAUAUAUAUAAAUAAAAUUUAAUUGGUUUGAUUUAAUUUAAUUGAUUUAAUUCCAAUUUAUUUUAUUUUAAUUUUAAUCGUUGUUUG
rnacentral:ncRNA from 1 species